rnacentral:rRNA from 1 species
GGUACAUCGGUGACAGGUGGUGCAUGGUUGCGUCAGCUCGUGUCGUGAGAUGUUGGGUUAAGUCCCGCAACGAGCGCAACCCCUAUUGUUAGUUGCCAUCAUUCAGUUGGGCACUCUAGCGAGACUGCCGGUAAUAAACCGGAGGAAGGUGGGGAUGACGUCAAAUCAUCAUGCCCCUUAUGACCUGGGCUACACACGUGCUACAAUGGUUGGUACAACGAGUUGCGAGUCGGUGACGGCGAGCUAAUCUCUUAAAGCCAAUCUCAGUUCGGAUUGUAGGCUGCAACUCGCCUACAUGAAGUCGGAAUCGCUAGUAAUCGCGGAUCAGCACGCCGCGGUGAAUACGUUCCCGGGCCUU